rnacentral:RNase_P_RNA from 1 species
GCGGAGGGCUGGAUGGCUGCUUGGGCAGGGGGAACCCGACCCGAGAGGAAAGUCCGGACUCCAAGAAGCAACGGUGCCGGGUAACGCCCGGGCGGGGCAACCCGACGGAAAGCGCCACAGAAAACAGACCGCCCCGGCAGGUCCGGGGUAAGGGUGAAACGGUGGGGUAAGAGCCCACCGCGCCUCUGGCAACAGCGGCGGCACGGCAAGCCCCACCGGGAGCAAUGCCAAAUAGGAUCCUCGCGCGGGCCUUGCCCGCGAGCCCGCUCUGGUCGGGGGAUCGGGUUGGCAGCUUGAGGCGCAUGGCAACAUGCGUCCCAGAUGAAUGGUCAUCCAGGGGGCCUUGUGUCUCCAGACAAAAUCCGGCUUAUAGGCCCUCCGCGCAA